GAGACUCACUUGUUCCUUAGGCAAACUCGGGUUUAACGCUGGUCUUGCGCAUAAGAUUUCGAACAGAACAACUCCGAAUGAGUAAACGUCUGAUUUCUCAGUCAGUUGUUGUCUUCUGAAGUAUUCAGGAUCUAAAUAACCGAAGCUUCCUUUGACGACGGUUGUUACAUGGCCUCCAUUCAUGUUAGGUCCAGUUUUGGAUAACCCAAAGUCUGAAACUUUGGCUACCCAGUUCUCAUCUACGAGGAUGUUAGUUGUUUUAACGUCUCUGUGUAUAAUCGUGUACUUUGCUCCUGUGUGAAGGUAAUGUAAUCCUCUUGCUGCUCCAAUAGCUAUCUCUAGCCUUCGUUUCCAAGUUAAUUGUGGUUUCUUUGUGUUGUAUAGAUGCUCACGGAGUGUUCCAAAUGCCAUGUAAUCGUAUACGAGACACAUUUCUCCUCCCUCGUCGCAGUAUCCUAUCAAGGAGACUAAGUGUUUGUGUCUUAGUCUUGAGAGGAGUUCGAUUUC
rnacentral:lncRNA from 1 species